rnacentral:rRNA from 1 species
ACGGAGGGUGCGAGCGUUGUCCGGAAUCACUGGGCUUAAAGGGCGCGUAGGCGGGCUAUCAAGUCCGGGGUGAAAUCCUCCAGCUUAACUGGAGAACUGCCUCGGAUACUGAUGGUCUCGAGGGAGAUCGGGGCAAGCGGAACUGUGGGUGGAGCGGUGAAAUGCGUUGAUAUCCAUAGGAACUCCGGUGGCGAAGGCGGCUUGCUGGAUCUCAUCUGACGCUGAGGCGCGAAAGCCAGGGGAGCAAACGGGA